rnacentral:lncRNA from 1 species
AGACGGAGGGAAGACUAGGAUGAUACCUGGACGGCAGGUGAAGAAGGGCUGGGCGCAGCUGUCCAAGAUUAGGAGACUUUGUUUGUCCCCCCCAGGUCCAUGUGGGAAUGGAGCCGCCGUAUUAAUACUAAUACCGGAGACAGCAGUGAUCCAGUUCCAGUCCCACUUCCUCAACUGCCGGCUGGUGGUUUCCACCUGCAUGUGCUCAUCUCUUUACUCAUGCCCUAAGGACUCAACACCAGUGCCUGAUAGGAUCUACUGAGGAUGCUGAAACUCACUUGAUAGAUGUUCAAGCUCCCCACGCCUUCUCCAGCUGGUGGUCAGUAUUCUUAGGUCCAGCAUACCACCCACCAAGCAUCCUUGCCCGACUGACUAAGUGUUUUGUACCUGGACAAUUCAAAAGGGAAUGCGGAGGUUGCUCUAGCCUGUAUCUCCUCCUCUGGGCAGACCCAUAUCUCUGGGAUUCCACCAGCUCUUCUGACUAUGCCUCCUGUGUUCCCCACUCCCCGCUGUCAGGAAGCCCUUCCUUUUGCCCACUUUACAUCACUCACAUUGACGUUUGACCUCCACAUGGAAUUCCAAUGUGCCCCCGUUUUGUGACCAGGACUAGGCCCCCUUGACAUCUACGAGCUCAUGUGUACAUGGGGUAACUCUGAUAAAGCCAGCAUUAUUAUGCUUC